rnacentral:lncRNA from 1 species
CGGCAGUUGAGGAAAACUCGGGUAAAAAUGUGGAAAUCUCCGACGAAAUCUCUUCUCCGAUGACCGUCGAGGGGGAGCCUCCCAUCAUAAGUAGGGAGAGUCAUUCGACAUCCGACGAGGAUAUAGUCCUUAGUCCCUCCACAGAUCCGAGCUCGUCAAGUCUGAAUAUUCUGGGGGUUCCUUCACUCAAUCAGACCAUUGCUCCCUCCUUGGAAGGCUCUCCUAUUG